UACGUAUGGUGCAAGCGUUAUCCGGAUUUACUGGGCGUAAAGGGAGCGCAGGCGGCGCGCCAAGUCUGAUGUGAAACCCCGGGGCUCAACCCCGGGCAUGCAUUGGAAACUGGCGGGCUGGAGUGCCGGAGAGGUAAGCGGAAUUCCUAGUGUAGCGGUGAAAUGCGUAGAUAUUAGGAGGAACACCAGUGGCGAAGGCGGCUUACUGGACGGCAACUGACGCUGAGGCUCGAAAGCGUGGGUAGCAAACAGG
rnacentral:rRNA from 1 species